ensembl:lncRNA
AUGUCUCCCAGCCCAAGGUGCAGUGCUGCAUCUCUGGUCAAUUGGGAGUCUGAGAUGAAGCACUGUAGCUCGGGAAGGGAGGAACUGUGCCCUGGGACCCCGCCACCCCCCGGACUGCCGCCUGCUGGGAGCACUGAUGCCAGCGGAACAUGGGAACUGCGCAGUGAGACGGGAGCACAGCGUGUGACUGGAUGUGGGGGUCUGCCCUGCAGCCCCCCCCCCCCCCGCUGUCUCUGGGGCUGGGUCCCCAACUGUGGGAGAAGGGGCUCUCCCAGCCGUGUUUUUGGACACUGCCUCUGAUGGAGAAGCACAGAGAACGGAGCCUGCAGACACGCAGCGUGUCCCCCUGAAGAUCCCAUAGGGGCUGCUGACCCCCAGCCAUGGGGCAGGGCUCACCCCUCUGCUCUGUAUCCUGCGAGGGAAGGGCAGAGGAGGAGAGGUUUGCUUUGAGGCAGAGGAACACCCCUACGCCUGGUCAGGACUCCCAGAGCUCCCAGCUCUGUGGGGGGGGGGGGGCACGAAUGCUGCGUGGGGACAGCGGGGUCACACACAGAGCGGCCAGAGGAGCAGCUGUGCAGGGCGGGGGCCGCUGGGAGCCGCGGUCGCCGUGCUCUCAGGGUCCAGUUUUCCCAGGAAUCCCUUAGGCGCUACGUUGGGGAUUCCUGGAAAUACUGUUCUUGGGGCCACGGCUCUGCACCUGGAGACAGCCCGACCCCGAGCGGAGCCGCAGCCCCGCGGGAGCCAGGGACGAGUGCCUUUCACGCCGCUACAGCCCUUCGGUGCCCUCCACGAAGGACGGGGCUGCACGCGCGUCACCGAGCCGCCCCUGUACCAAUAAAGCUCUCGACUCCAAGGAACCGUCGGAGCCGUUUCUCUGGGGCGGGGAGCAGCGCAGGACGCUGCGGGCCGAUGCCGGAACCGCCCGGCCGUGCAGCAAAGCCCGCGGUGCGCCGCGCUCUGCUGCUCCGCUCCGCGCAGGGCGGACUGCACCGUGCGGGAGGGAGAGGGGCCGGGAGCAGCGGGGCCGGCAGGUGGCGGUGCUGCCCCGGAGCACGCAGUGCGUUUCGAGUGCAGCUGGCGGAGGAGGGGUUAAAUGAUGCCAUGCGGUUUCUCUCUCACACACACACAAAUUAAAAAAAUACUGCACUUAGCGCAGGAAAUGCC